rnacentral:lncRNA from 1 species
CAUGCACAAUGUGCACAGAAAAGAAAUAUUAAGAGACCCCAAUCAAGAAACUGGGGCAGGAAUUGUAUUGGAAAUAAGAAAAGAUUCCAAGAGUUAUAAUUUUAAACUCAUACCAAAGCUAUUUAGCUUUUAAUACCUUUUCCAUUCCUAACCUUAAUACCAAAAAGACCUUUCGAUCAAUCUUAGAAAAAUGCUGAGGCAAGCAAAUGAAGUGGUUCAUAACACUCUGGUACAAACAAGGAAAGAAAGUAAAAAUGAGAGAGUCUUAUAGGUGAAAACCCACACGGGCACCAUAAGGCGACGGAAGUUGAGAGAAAAGAAAAAUAAGAGAGUCUUAUAGGUGAAAACCCACACGGGCACCAUAAGGCGACGGAAGUUGAGAGAAAAGUAAAAUGAGAGAGUCUUAUAGGUGAAAACCCACACAUGCACCAUAAGGCGAAAAGGAAGUGAAGAAGUGAAAAAUAAGGAAAAUUUAUCGAUGAAAACUCCUUGAGACAAUUGAAAGGAGAUUGAUUAAAAGACUGGUUUGAUUUAAUCCGAAAUGCAUACCCUGAUCAUUGGUGCAGGUAAUUCCAAUCAGAUAAGUCCUUUAUUCCUUUUCCAAAAGUCAUCCAAAUUGGAUUUUUCUUUUCAUUCUAUAAUUGUCGAAAUCAGCGUAUUUCGUUACUAAUAAUCUUACUUUCUAAAAGCUUUGAGAUAAGUUUUAUUCCAAACAAAUAAGAAGGAAUGUCAAGGUAUACUACCAAGAUUCAAGGUUACAAAAUACAGCCACGAAAGGUAGGAGAUAA